GACGAACGCUGGCGGCGUGCCUAAUACAUGCAAGUCGAACGAGAGCGACCGGUGCUUGCACUGGUCAAUCUAGUGGCGAACGUGUGAGUAACACGUGGGUAACCUGCCCAUCAUAGGGGUAUAACAUCCGGAAACGGGUGCUAAAACCGCAUAGGUCUUCGAGCCGCAUGGCUUGAAGAGGAAAAGAGGCGCAAGCUUCUGCUGUCGGGUCGACCCGGGGUGCAUUAGCUGGUUGGUGGGGUAACGGCUCACCAAGGCCGUGAUCCGUAGCCGACCUGAGAGGGUGAUCGGCCACAUUGGGACUGAGACGCGGCCAAAGCUCCUACGAGAGGCAGCAGUAGCGAAUCUGCCGCAGUAGUCGCGAGUCUGACGGAGCGACGCCGCGUGAGUUAAGAAGGUUUUCGGAUCGUGAAACUCUGUUGUUAGAGAAGAACCGCUGCCAGCGUAACUGUUAGCGCCUUGACGGUAUCUAAUCAGGAAGCCACGGCUAACUACGUG
rnacentral:rRNA from 1 species